AGAGUUUGAUCCUGGCUCAGGACGAACGCUGGCGGCGUGCCUAAUACAUGCAAGUAGAACGCUGAAGAGAGGAGCUUGCUCUUCUUGGAUGAGUUGCGAACGGGUGAGUAACGCGUAGGUAACCUGCCUUGUAGCGGGGGAUAACUAUUGGAAACGAUAGCUAAUACCGCAUAACAAUGAAUGACACAUGUCAUUUAUUUGAAAGGGGCAAUUGCUCCACUACAAGAUGGACCUGCGUUGUAUUAGCUAGUAGGUGAGGUAAUGGCUCACCUAGGCGACGAUACAUAGCCGACCUGAGAGGGUGAUCGGCCACACUGGGACUGAGACACGGCCCAGACUCCUACGGGAGGCAGCAGUAGGGAAUCUUCGGCAAUGGGGGCAACCCUGACCGAGCAACGCCGCGUGAGUGAAGAAGGUUUUCGGAUCGUAAAGCUCUGUUGUAAGUCAAGAACGAGUGUGAGAGUGGAAAGUUCACACUGUGACGGUAGCUUACCAGAAAGGGACGGCUAACUACGUGCCAGCAGCCGCGGUAAUACGUAGGUCCCGAGCGUUGUCCGGAUUUAUUGGGCGUAAAGCGAGCGCAGGCGGUUUGAUAAGUCUGAAGUUAAAGGCUGUGGCUCAACCAUAGUUCGCUUUGGAAACUGUCAAACUUGAGUGCAGAAGGGGAGAGUGGAAUUCCAUGUGUAGCGGUGAAAUGCGUAGAUAUAUGGAGGAACACCGGUGGCGAAAGCGGCUCUCUGGUCUGUAACUGACGCUGAGGCUCGAAAGCGUGGGGAGCGAACAGGAUUAGAUACCCUGGUAGUCCACGCCGUAAACGAUGAGUGCUAGGUGUUGGAUCCUUUCCGGGAUUCAGUGCCGCAGCUAACGCAUUAAGCACUCCGCCUGGGGAGUACGACCGCAAGGUUGAAACUCAAAGGAAUUGACGGGGGCCCGCAC
rnacentral:rRNA from 1 species